CCUACGGGAGGCAGCAGUGGGGAAUAUUGGGCAAUGGGCGCAAGCCUGACCCAGCAACGCCGCGUGAAGGAAGAAGGCUUUCGGGUUGUAAACUUCUUUUAAGAGGGAAGAGCAGAAGACGGUACCUCUUGAAUAAGCCACGGCUAACUACGUGCCAGCAGCCGCGGGAAUACGUAGGUGGCAAGCGUUGUCCGGAUUUACUGGGUGUAAAGGGCGUGCAGGCGGGAAGACAAGUCAGAUGUGAAAUCCCGCGGCUCAACCGCGGAACUGCAUUUGAAACUGUUUUUCUUGAGUGCCGGAGAGGGUAUCCGAAGGGCCUGUGGAGCCGUGAAAUGCGUAGAUAUAAGGAAGAACACCAGUGGCGAAGGCGGAUGACUGGACGGCAACUGACGGUGAGGCGCGAAAGCGUGGGGAGCAAACAGGAUUAGAUACCCUUGUAGUC
rnacentral:rRNA from 1 species